GGGCGCUUAGUUUAGGGGCAUAACAGUCGCUUCGCAAGCGAGAGACGUGAGUUCGAUUCUCACAGCGUCCA
rnacentral:tRNA from 1 species